UUUUUCUAUAAAAGCGUUAGACGUUACGCUUUGAAAAAGCAGCUGCAAAAUUCAUUUUGUAUUUUCGUCGAGUAGAAGAAGCUGAAUAUGUAUUAGUAAAUUUUCAGCACGACGCUUGGCGUAUAAGGCAUAUGAAUUUCGUGUUGUUUUUUUUUGGGUUUCAGAUAUGUCUCUUGGUUUAGGAUUUUAUUAGCUUUUAUUUUAAAUUUUUGUCAACUAAUAUUGCAUCUAAUAUGAUUAAAAUUUUUCUUUUGUUGUUGUUGUAUUAUUUUUUAGAAUUUAUUAUUAAAAAGAUGUUUUUUGUAUUAAAGAUAUUUGUUAAACUACAUUUUUAUGUUACUAUACUAAAAACUAUA